GCGGCGGCGGCGGCGGUGGCAGCGGCGCUUGUGGUGGUGGCUGCGGUAGCUGAGUGAACUGAGGCAUUGGCAGGCUCAUCUUUGGCGAUCUUGGCCCUGGCUUCGGCUCAUGGCACCGAGAAGCAUCCAUCGUAAGAUCAUUAACUGAAGACCAAAUAAAUAGCUAUGCAAAAUUCCCACAUGGAUGAGUACAGGAACUCUGAUAAUGGCAGCACAGGCAACAGUUCAGAGGUAGUGAUAGAGCAUCCAGAUUUUAGUACUGAGAUUAUGAACGUUACGGAGAUGGAGCAGUCGCCUGAUGCCUCUCCCAGCGUACGUGUAUCUACAGAAGAAAACGAAAUGGCAAAUGCUGUGGACCUUCCAGUGACAGAAACAGAAGGAAACUUCCCUCCAGAGUUUGAAAAAUUUUGGAAAACAGUAGAAACGAAUCCUCAGGAUUUUACAGGAUGGGUAUAUUUGCUUCAGUAUGUAGAACAGGAGAAUCACUUGAUGGCUGCCAGAAAAGCAUUUGACAAAUUUUUCAUACAUUACCCGUAUUGCUAUGGUUACUGGAAAAAGUAUGCAGACCUUGAAAAGCGACAUGACAACAUUAAACAAUCAGAUGAGGUGCGUAUAUCAAUGAAUACAGUUUUCUCUGUUAGGUACUGUAAGCCAAUUAAUAACAAAACAGACUUUCUUUUUCUGGCUGGCAGUACCUACCAUUUAUGGUCAAACUUUUUUUAUAGGGUAUUUUAUUUGCAUUUGUCACUAUUGUGGCAUUUGUAGCUAAUAUUUUCUCUCUUUGUUGGCAGGUGCGUUAAACUUCUACAGUUUGUCAAGCUUUGCAGUGCAAGCCUCUGUAUUACACUGCAGCUUAACAAGUAGGGCAGGGCUUUUCUCUCACUUACAUUUAUUUCUCAUUUUCCAAACAAUAUAGUUGGUUUGCUAGUCACAUUUGCUACGUCUUAUUGCAUUUUUGGUCAGACGCUGUCAUUGAUGCUCUAAUGGGUCUGUGCCCUAUGGUCUGUAACCCAAAGCCUGCCCACACAACCCGGUCAGAAUGCAGGGACUGCUGCGCUUUGAAGAUCAAGACUCUGCACGUGGGGAUCAGAACAUUGCCAUGUUCUAUCCAACCUCCACCCAAAUGGUAAUGGUAGAUUAUUUAAACAAAAUUCCAGUAAUUAGUAUUUCUAAGGUUCACCGGAUAACACAGUGUUGCCUCUCUUUUAAUAAAUAAUUAAAAAUUUGAGGUACAGUUUAUUGUUUUCUUCUUAGGUUUAUCGACGGGGGCUUCAGGCAAUACCUCUUAGUGUUGAUCUUUGGAUACAUUAUAUAAACUUCUUAAAAGAAACAUUGGACCCUGGUGAUCCUGAGACAAACAGUACAAUAAGAGGAACUUUUGAGCAUGCUGUUCUAGCUGCAGGAACGGAUUUUCGAUCUGACAAAUUAUGGGAAAUGUAUAUAAACUGGGAGAAUGAACAGGGAAAUCUGAGAGAAGUUACAGCUGUAUACGAUCGUAUUCUUGGUAUUCCAACCCAGCUGUACAGUCAUCAUUUUCAGAGAUUUAAAGAACAUGUGCAAAAUAACUUGCCUAGAGAUCUUUUAACUGGUGAACAGUUUAUUCAGUUGAGAAGGGAAUUAGCUUCUGUAAAUGGACACAAUGGUGAUGACGGACCUCCUGGUGAUGACCUUCCAUCAGGAAUUGAAGACAUAACUGAUCCAGCAAAGCUAAUUACUGAAAUAGAAAACAUGAGACAUAGAAUCAUUGAAAUUCAUCAAGAAAUGUUUAAUUAUAAUGAGCAUGAAGUUAGUAAGAGGUGGACAUUUGAAGAAGAUUAAAAGACCUUAUUUUCAUGUGAAACCACUGGAAAAGGCUCAGCUAAAAAACUGGAAAGAAUACUUAGAAUUUGAAAUUGAAAAUGGGACUCAUGAAAGAGUCGUGGUUCUCUUUGAAAGAUGUGUCAUAUCUUGUGCCCUCUAUGAGGAGUUUUGGAUUAAGGAGAUGGUCUGCUUGCAACCAGAUUUGACUGCUGCAUAUGCCAACCUCGUUGCCUCUCUUCGUCCUUCCUUACAGAAACUAGUCUAGUGGUUCAAUAAAGUAUUUCCUGUUUUCUGUAUGUAGUAUGCCAAGUACAUGGAAAACCACAGCAUUGAAGGAGUGAGGCAUGUCUUCAGCAGAGCCUGUACUGUUCAUCUCCCAAAGAAGCCCAUGGCGCACAUGCUGUGGGCAGCUUUUGAGGAACAACAGGGGAAUAUUAAUGAAGCCAGGAUUAUCUUGAGAACGUUUGAAGAAUGUGUUCUAGGAUUGGCAAUGGUUCGAUUGCGAAGAGUUAGUUUAGAACGACGGCAUGGAAAUAUGGAAGAAGCUGAACAUUUGCUUCAAGACGCUAUAAGGAAUGCCAAAUCAAAUAAUGAGUCAUCAUUUUAUGCUAUCAAACUAGCCCGACAUCUUUUCAAAAUACAGAAAAACCUUCCAAAAUCAAGAAAGGUACUUUUGGAAGCAAUCGAAAAAGAUAAGGAAAACACAAAGUUAUACCUCAAUUUACUUGAAAUGGAAUACAGUUGUGACCUCAAGCAAAAUGAAGAAAAUAUCCUCAAUUGCUUUGACAAAGCCAUACAUGGUUCGUUGCCUAUUAAAAUGAGAAUUACGUUUUCUCAAAGAAAAGUGGAAUUCCUUGAAGAUUUUGGCUCAGAUGUUAAUAAGCUUCUGAAUGCAUAUGAUGAACAUCAAACACUUCUAAAAGAACAGGACACUUUAAAAAGGAAAGCUGAAAAUGGCUCAGAAGAACCAGAAGAAAAGAAAGCACACACAGAAGAUGUAUCAUCAGCACAGAUCAUUGAUGGGGAUUUACAGGCAAAUCAAGCUGCAUAUAAUUACAGUGCCUGGUAUCAGUACAAUUAUCAGAAUCCCUGGAAUUACGGACAGUAUUACCCUCCACCUCCAACCUGAAGGGAACACGUAAAUUUCAGAUGGCUUAUAUAAGACAAUGUGGAACUAUUUUUUUUGAAGGAUGUAAAACAUAGUAUAAGCUUGUUGUAUUUGAUAAUUUGUCUUCCCAGUUUCUGUGUAACAUUUAUUUUAUUUAGUUAAUAGCAGGAAAUGUCAAUUAAUAGUGUAUCAUAGAAAUUUUCCUACCAUUUUUAAAAUUUACUUUUUAUUGAAGAACUAUUUUUUUUAUUUUUAUUUUUUAUUUUAUCGUAUCUUUUUGCAUUAAAUGGUCUAGAAUUCUUUUGCAGCUCAUGCAGGAGAUUUGUAGCCUUAACUGUAGGGGGAAAACUGACUGUAAAUCAUGUCAGUUAAAAAAGAUUUUUUUGGGGAAAAAAAAGGGCUGGUUAGUGAGAAUCUUGCCUCCUAUAAAAACAGACUUUUAAAAAAUUGACUUUUAACCUUAAACCCCAAAGUUAUGUAUAUGUUUUGAUUAUACUGGGGAAUUUGGUUCUAACUGCAGGAUAGAUGAACUGUUGACAUGCACUGCCUUUGACUAGAUAAUAAUGGAGAAAGUGUAAUGUCAGCUUCCCCUUAAGAAAUGAAAUAUCAAAGUAUGUUUUAGAGUUUGUAUCUAGAAUAUUCAUGUAAAACGCAAGCUUUCAUUUUGAUCAAAUUUACCAUUUUUGUAAUAAAAAUUAAGACUCACGCAGCAAUUGUUCAUGAAUUCAUUUGGGGGA
rnacentral:lncRNA from 1 species